rnacentral:rRNA from 1 species
UUACACAUGCAAGUCGAACGGCAGCACGGGAGCGAAUCCUGGUGGCGAGUGGCGAACGGGUGAGUAAUAUAUCGGAACGUGCCCGGUCUGGGGGGAUAACGUAGCGAAAGCUACGCUAAUACCGCAUACGAUCUACGGAUGAAAGCGGGGGAUCGCAAGACCUCGCGCGAUUGGAGCGGCCGAUAUCAGAUUAGGUAGUUGGUGAGGUAAAGGCUCACCAAGCCGACGAUCUGUAGCUGGUCUGAGAGGACGACCAGCCACACUGGGACUGAGACACGGCCCAGACUCCUACGGGAGGCAGCAGUGGGGAAUUUGGACAAUGGGCGCAAGCCUGAUCCAGCAAUGCCGCGUGCAGGAUGAAGGCCUUCGGGUUGUAAACUGCUUUGUACGGAACGAAACGGUGAGCUCUAAUACAGUUUGCUAAUGACGGUACCGUAAGAAUAAGCACCGGCUAACUACGUG